GGAACGAAAAAUGUCACUAUGAUAUAUAAAAUGUUGGGAACUACACCAUAAGUAACUAACGAGGGCGUCCACCCGGCUUCACCAUGCCCCCGCCAGCCCCGCCGCGCCCCUGCCUGCAUGCGCCCCCGCGCCGCCGCUCGCUUGCACGCGUCCCUGCGCCCGACCCGACCCCUCCCUGUGGCCCGCGCGCUCACUCGACCCCGGACGCGCGU
rnacentral:lncRNA from 7 species